AGAGUUUGAUCAUGGCUCAGAGUGAACGCUGGCGGCAUGCCUAACACAUGCAAGUCGAACGGCAGCAUGAGGUGUAGCAAUACACCUUGAUGGCGAGUGGCGGACGGGUGAGGAACACAUCGGAAUCUGCCCGGUCGUGGGGGAUAACGUAGGGAAACUUACGCUAAUACCGCAUGAGACCGAGAGGUGAAAGCGGGGGAUCGCAAGACCUCGCGCGAUUGGAUGAGCCGAUGUCGGAUUAGCUAGUUGGUGGGGUAAAGGCCUACCAAGGCGACGAUCCGUAGCUGGUCUGAGAGGAUGAUCAGCCACACUGGGACUGAGACACGGCCCAGACUCCUACGGGAGGCAGCAGUGGGGAAUAUUGGACAAUGGGGGCAACCCUGAUCCAGCAAUGCCGCGUGUGUGAAGAAGGCCUUCGGGUUGUAAAGCACUUUUAUCGGGAACGAAACAUUGUCGGUGAAUAUCCGGCAAGACUGACGGUACCCGAGGAAUAAGCACCGGCUAACUUCGUGCCAGCAGCCGCGGUAAUAC
rnacentral:rRNA from 1 species